rnacentral:rRNA from 1 species
AAGCAGCGGAGCAUGUGGUUUAAGUUCGAAGCAACGCGAAGAACCUUACCAGAUCUUGACAUCCAAUGACCAUCUUUUAUCGAGAUUUUGCCUUCGGGUACAAUUGAGACAGGUGGUGCAUGGUUGUCGUCAGCUCGUGUCGUGAGAUGUUGGGUUAAGUCCCGCAACGAGCGCAACCCUUGUGUUUAGUUGCAAACAGGUCAAGCUGUGCACUCUAGACAGACUGCCGUGGACAACACGGAGGAAGGUGGGGAUGACGUCAAAUCAUCAUGCCCCUUAUGAUCUGGGCUACACACGUGCUACAAUGGCCGGUACAACGGGCAGCGAAGGAGCGAUCCGGAGCGAAUCCUAAAAAGCCGGUCCCAGUUCGGAUUGCAGGCUGAAACUCGCCUACAUGAAGUUGGAGUUGCUAGUAAUCGCGAAUCAGAAUGUCGCGGUGAAUGCGUUCCCGGGUCUU